rnacentral:rRNA from 1 species
AGCAGAUGACUGGGUUUAAAGGGCGCGUAGGCGGAUCGUUAAGUCAGAGGUGAAAUCCCAGGGCUCAACCCUGGAACUGCCUUUGAUACUGGCGAUCUUGAGUAUGAGAGAGGUAUGUGGAACUCCGAGUGUAGAGGUGAAAUUCGUAGAUAUUCGGAAGAACACCAGUGGCGAAGGCGACAUACUGGCUCAUUACUGACGCUGAGGCGCGAAAGCGUGGGGAGCAAACAGGAUUAGAUACCCUGGUAGUCCACGCCGUAAACGAUGAUUGCUAGUUGUCGGGCUGCAUGCAGUUCGGUGACGCAGCUAACGCAUUAAGCAAUCCGCCUGGGGAGUACGGUCGCAAGAUUAAAACUAAAAAAUAGUACGG